GAUGAAGAAGUAGCGAAAUGCGAUAAGUAGUGUGAAUUGCAGAAUUCAGUGAAUCAUCGAAUCUUUGAACGCACAUUGCGCCCCUUGGUAUUCCAUGGGGCAUGCCUGUUCGAGCGUCAUUUGUACCUUCAAGCUCUGCUUGGUGUUGGGUGUUUGUCUCGCCUCUGCGUGUAGACUCGCCUCAAAAUAAUUGGCAGCCGGCGUAUUGAUUUCGGAGCGCAGUACAUCUCGCGCUUUGCACUCAUAACGACGACGUCCAAAAGUACAUUUUUACACUCUUGACCUCGGAUCAGGUAGGGAUACCCGCUGAACUUAAGCAUAUCAAUAAGCGGAGGA
rnacentral:misc_RNA from 1 species